AUUGAACGCUGGCGGCAUGCCUAACACAUGCAAGUCGAACGCGUGGCGGACGGGUGAGUAAUGUCUGGGAAACUGCCUGAUGGAGGGGGAUAACUACUGGAAACGGUAGCCAAUUCCGCAUACCAUCAGAUGUGCCCAGAUGGGAUUAGCUUGUUGGUGGGGUAACGGCUCACCAAGGCGACGAUACCUAGCUGGUCUGCGAGGAUGACCAGCCACACUGUAACGGAGAAACGGUCCAGACGCCUACGUGAGGCAGCAGUGGGGAAUAUUGGACAAUGGGCGAAAGCCGGAGGCAGCCAUGCCGCGUGUAUGAAGAAGGCCUUCGGGUUGUAAAGUACUUUCAGCGGGGAGGCGUUACCCACAGAGGAAGCACCGGCUAACUCCGUGCCAGCAGCCGCGGUAAUAC
rnacentral:rRNA from 1 species